GCACUAUCAGGCUCCACCUUAUCAAGUCAACGAUUAGCUUGACCAAGAAUUUGAAGCAAACACUGAGUUCAGAAGAUCAUGCUACUAUAGCUAGGAACCAGUAAUGGCUGAACUGAGAGCACAAUUUUUCUGAUCUGUUAUAGAUACAUUGAAAAAAGACAUCCUUCACCAGUAACUAAGACAUGGUGCAGGCUCCUGUCCAAGGUCACGUCUGCCUGAUGUGCACUCUUCUUAUGGGCUAGUCAAAUUUUCCCACAGGACCUUCCUUCCUGCACACUAGCCAUCAUUUUCAGGUAGCAGCUUUUCCCCAGUUCCUUGGAAUUCACAUUCAGUUUGGCUC
rnacentral:lncRNA from 1 species